UUUUUUAAAAUUUUUUCUUUUUAUUCUAAUGCAUUUCAUUUCCAAAAAUAUAUCUCCCUCACGUUGAGAAAUGAAAAUCUAUUUUUUCAUGUGAACUAUUAUAAUCUAUCACCUGGAAAGGGGCUAAUGAAAAGUCACAAAAUUAUCUUAAAUCUCUCUUUCUCUUCGACCAACAGAACCUUCCACCGUUAUCCCUGUAAAUCAGAGGUUCUAUCCCAAGCAACCUCCAAUUUCUCUUUUUUUUUUCAGAUCAUCGAUCUCUAUGUUGAUCUGCGGUUUUCACCGCUCUCCUUCAGGUGUAGUGAUUCUGUUUCAGUUCUUCUCCUUCUUAUUCACGUCGCCUCUGUUUUCCGAUUUCACCGAUCAUUUCCUAACUCCGUUUUUAGAUUUCAAUCAAUUUUGGAUUCUUGA